rnacentral:rRNA from 1 species
CCUGCGAACAACUAGCCCUGAAAAUGGAUGGCGCUAAAGCGUCGUGCCUAUACCGGGCCGUCAACGGCCACAGUGGGCCUCUGCCUUCGGGCAAGAGCCGUUACGCCUUGACGAGUAGGAGGGUCGCGGCGGUGUGCGCAGAAGGGUCUGGGCGUGAGCCUGCCUGGAGCCGCCGUCGGCGCAGAUCUUGGUGGUAGUAGCAAAUACUCUAGAGAGGGCCUGGAGAGCCGAUGUGGAGAAGGGUUUCUUGUGAACAGCCGUUGUACAAGAGUAAGUCGAUCCUAAGUGCUAGGAGAAAUCCGAUGUUGAUGGUCUGGCUGUCGACUUCUGUUCUCAACACUUGGAAAACGCUUCAGGCUUCCGGGCCGUAAAAGCGUAGGUUCUUUCUCGUGCCAAGCACUCUAUAGUUUAAAAUCGUUAUUCUGCGCGCCUUGCCGGCGUGCUGGUGCCGUUCAGUGGACCAGCCUUGGAGUACGAUCUAUUUAGUGUGGAUUUUCUCUGAUGUGUUUUCUGGCAGACUAUUGUCUGUACGGACAUGGACAACUUUUAUUUUUCACACUUGUGUGGGAUUUGUUUCACAUGUCAGAGAAGUCCGGGCUCUGACAUAUUGUCUUGCUAGCCAUGCACAGAGCGUUGGCACUAGCCUUGGGGCUUUUGGCCGAGGAAGAACAUUGUGUUAUCCUUUAGCCCGUUGAAGGGCGAAAGGGAAUCCGGUCAACAUUCCGGAACCCGGCUGCGUAAACCGCUCUCUGUUGGCAUUAGCCGGCGAGCGCUUUGUUGGGGUAACCCAAGCUGUCCCGGAGACUCUGGCGGGGGGUCUGGGAAGAGUUUUCUUUUCUUUUUAAGCGUUCGUGGACCCUGGAAUUCUAUAGCAGAGAGAAUAGGGUUUGGAACGCGAAAAACAUCGCAGUUGCGGCGGUGACCGGACUUCCCCCCCGGACCUUGAAAAUCGGGGUGAGGGCUACGCGGAAGUCGCGCCGGAUCGUACCCAUAUCCGCAGCAGGUCUCCAAGGNUAAGAGCCUCUAGUCGAUAGAAUAAUGUAGGUAAGGGAAGUCGGCAAAUUGGAUCCGUAACUUCGGGACAAGGAUUGGCUCUGAGGAUCGGGGCGUGUCGGGCUUGGUCGGGAAGCGGGUCAGUGCCAACGUGCCGGGCCUGGGCGAGGGGAAGGGGCGGCUAGUUCGCUGGCUACCUCAUGAUCCGAGCUCGGUCCCGUGCCUUGGCCUCCCGCGGAUCUUCCUUGCUGCGGGGUGUCGGCUGUUCUAGUUGCGGCUGGGCUUCUGCUCGCCGUGGACGGGCCGAAUUUUCCCUUCGGCCGCCAUUCAACGAUCAACUCAGAACUGGCACGGACCGGGAGAAUCCGACUGUCUAAUUAAAGCAAAGCAUUGCGAUGGCUCUAGCUGAGUGUUUACGCAAUGUGAUUUCUGCCCAGUGCUCUGAAUGUCAACGUGAAGAAAUUCAAGCAAGCGCGGGUAAACGGCGGGAGUAACUAUGACUCUCUUAAGGUAGCCAAAUGCCUCGUCAUCUAAUUAGUGACGCGCAUGAAUGGAUUAACGAGAUUCUCACUGUCCCUAUCUACUAUCUAGCGAAACCACUGCCAAGGGAACGGGCUUGGAAAAAUUAGCGGGGAAAGAAGACCCUGUUGAGCUUGACUCUAGUCUGGCACUGUAAGGAGACAUGAGAGGUGUAGCAUAAGUGGGAGAUGGGCGGGCCUCAAAGCUUGUUCAUCGACGGUGAAAUACCACUACUUUCAUCGUUUCCUUACUUACUCGGAUAGGCGGAGAGCGUGUACGCCUAUGGUACAUACCGAGGCGUACCGGUAUUCUCGCGCCAAGCGUCCGAGGGUUGUCGGCACGCGUCUGGCAGGGCUUGGGUCCGCGCGGGAAAGCGGCUUGUUUACCGCAAGGUGGCUUGUCGCCGACCCCCGGCUCUUGCCUGGACUGGGCGCUGUUGACCGGCAAACACUCCCUCGCGUGAUCCGAUUCGAGGACACAGCCAGGCGGGGAGUUUGACUGGGGCGGUACAUCUGUCAAAUGAUAACGCAGGUGUCCUAAGGCCAGCUCAGCGAGGACAGAAACCUCGCGUAGAGCAAAAGGGCAAAUGCUGGUUUGAUCCCGAUGUCCAGUACGCAUAGGGACUGCGAAAGCACGGCCUGUCGAUCCUUUUGGCUUGAAGAGAUUUCAGCAAGAGGUGU